rnacentral:rRNA from 1 species
UAGGGAAUCUUCGGCAAUGGACGGAAGUCUGACCGAGCAACGCCGCGUGAGUGAAGAAGGUUUUCGGAUCGUAAAGCUCUGUUGUUAGAGAAGAACGUUGGUAGGAGUGGAAAAUCUACCAAGUGACGGUAACUAACCAGAAAGGGACGGCUAACUACGUGCCAGCAGCCGCGGUAAUACGUAGGUCCCGAGCGUUGUCCGGAUUUAUUGGGCGUAAAGCGAGCGCAGGCGGUUCUUUAAGUCUGAAGUUAAAGGCAGUGGCUUAACCAUUGUACGCAUUGGAAGCUGGAGGACUUGAGUGCAGAAGGGGAGAGGGGAAUUCCAUGUGUAGCGGGGAAAUGCGUAGAUAUAUGGAGGAACACCGGUGGCGAAAGCGGCUCUCUGGUCUGUAACUGACGCUGAGGCUCGAAAGCGUGGGGAGCAAACAGG